GUCUGGGAAGCUGCCUGAUGGAGGGGGAUAACUACUGGAAACGGUAGCUAAUACCGCAUAACGUCGCAAGACCAAAGAGGGGGACCUUAGGGCCUCUUGCCAUCGGAUGUGCCCAGAUGGGAUUAGCUAGUAGGUGGGGUAAAGGCUCACCUAGGCGACGAUCCCUAGCUGGUCUGAGAGGAUGACCAGCCACACUGGAACUGAGACACGGUCCAGACUCCUACGGGAGGCAGCAGUGGGGAAUAUUGCACAAUGGGCGCAAGCCUGAUGCAGCCAUGCCGCGUGUAUGAAGAAGGCCUUCGGGUUGUAAAGUACUUUCAGCGGGGAGGAAGGGAGUAAAGUUAAUACCUUUGCUCAUUGACGUUACCCGCAGAAGAAGCACCGGCUAACUCCGUGCCAGCAGCCGCGGUAAUACGGAGGGUGCAAGCGUUAAUCGGAAUUACUGGGCGUAAAGCGCACGCAGGCGGUUUGUUAAGUCAGAUGUGAAAUCCCCGGGCUCAACCUGGGAACUGCAUCUGAUACUGGCAAGCUUGAGUCUCGUAGAGGGGGGUAGAAUUCCAGGUGUAGCGGUGAAAUGCGUAGAGAUCUGGAGGAAUACCGGUGGCGAAGGCGGCCCCCUGGACGAAGACUGACGCUCAGGUGCGAAAGCGUGGGGAGCAAACAGGAUUAGAUACCCUGGUAGUCCACGCCGUAAACGAUGUCGACUUGGAGGUUGUGCCCUUGAGGCGUGGCUUCCGGAGCUAACGCGUUAAGUCGACCGCCUGGGGAGUACGGCCGCAAGGUUAAAACUCAAAUGAAUUGACGGGGGCCCGCACAAGCGGUGGAGCAUGUGGUUUAAUUCGAUGCAACGCGAAGAACCUUACCUGGUCUUGACAUCCACGGAAGUUUUCAGAGAUGAGAAUGUGCCUUCGGGAACCGUGAGACAGGUGCUGCAUGGCUGUCGUCAGCUCGUGUUGUGAAAUGUUGGGUUAAGUCCCGCAACGAGCGCAACCCUUAUCCUUUGUUGCCAGCGGUCCGGCCGGGAACUCAAAGGAGACUGCCAGUGAUAAACUGGAGGAAGGUGGGGAUGACGUCAAGUCAUCAUGGCCCUUACGACCAGGGCUACACACGUGCUACAAUGGCGCAUACAAAGAGAAGCGACCUCGCGAGAGCAAGCGGACCUCAUAAAGUGCGUCGUAGUCCGGAUUGGAGUCUGCAACUCGACUCCAUGAAGUCGGAAUCGCUAGUAAUCGUGGAUCAGAAUGCCACGGUGAAUACGUUCCCGGGCCUUGUACACACCGCCCGUCACACCAUGGGAGUGGGUUGCAAAAGAAGUAGGUAGCUUAACCUUCGGGAGGGCGCUUACCACUUUGUGAUUCAUGACUGGGGUGAAGUCGUAACAAGGUAACCGUAGGGGAACCUGCGGUUGGAUCACCUCCUUACCUUAAAGAAGC
rnacentral:rRNA from 1 species